GCAUUGGUGGUUCAGUGGUAGAAUUCCGGCCUUCCGCGCAGGAGACCUAGGUUGGAAUCCCUGCCAAUGCU
rnacentral:tRNA from 1 species